ACACACACUGCCACAGCCAAGAGGAUGCUAGAGAGCCAAGAUGAUUAACUAUAAUGUGGAAGAGAGAGGGAAGAUGAAGCUAUAACUCAGAAAAUCUGACUACCAUAGAUAUUUUGUUAAUAAUAAAUAACAAUGUAUUCAUCUUUGUAGAACACAACACUAUUCAGUAAUUGUAAGAAAUGUGCUAUACCAAAGAAGGAUACUCACAGUAGAAACAGCUGAAUGUGAGAUUCACGGAAACUCUCUGUCCUUUCACCUUUUUGGUAAAUGUAAGACUGUCCUACAUUAGGAAGUGUAUUUAGGAAGGCUGUGUUGGAGUUGUGGGCUUAGAGGUGGCAGGUGUGAGAGACCUGGAGAAAGGCUGGAAGCUGACAGGAGAAUUGUGCAGGGGUCGGGGGCUGAGAAAACAUAUCAAUUACUUUUUUUUUCUUUUUUUGAGAUGGAGUCUUGCUCUGUCGCCAGGCUGGAGUGCAGUGGCACCAUCUCGGCUCACUGCAACCUCCGCCUCCUGGGCUCAAGCAGUUCUCCUGCCUAAGCCUCCCAAGUAGCUGGGACUACAGGCGUGCGCCACCACGCCCAGCUAUUUUUUUGUGUGUGUGUUUUUAGUAGAGACGGGGUUUCUCCAUGUUGGCCAGGCUGGUCUCGAUCCCUUGACCUCAGGUGAUCCACCCGCCUCGGCCUCCCAAUGUGCUAGAAUUACGGGCAUGAGCCACCACACCCGGCCAGUAAGUUUUUAAAAGUAAGGAAUGGAUUUGAUUUUUUCAAUCGUGUUUAUUUCAUCUUAAAUAUGUGCAUUGAAACAAGUUUUUGAGGAUUAGAAAAUCCAAGAUGGAUUUUCAUCCAUAGAACAGCCCAGGGUGGGAACUCUUUUGGAUGCUGAGAAUAUACUCGCCCCAAAGGGAAGUGGCUCUGAGCCACGAGCACACACCUGGCGUUAAUUCCACUCACCGACCCCUUGGUUCCCUGCUGCAGAGAGAUGAUUUAAGGUUCCUGGAAGGUCACAGAGGUCUGUUCUUUUGCACCCUAUCAGCAGACAGCUUGCCUCCUUAAACUAUUCGAAUAAGUAGAAGAUGAUGGAAACAGGGAAAGGGGUAUAUGUUUAUCUGAAAGUCAUUGGUGUCCCUACUCAAAGUCUUAGUGGCAUCAAAGCAGACCUGUGUUUCCUAGAAUAUCACUCAAAAUUGCCAAAUCAACCUUUAACAAAAUGCCAAAGUUUGUUCCUCUAGAUACAGAAUGUUGUAGGGUCUCCCUUAGUCAAUUAACAUUGUUUUAUCUGUCAGUUAUCACUGAUUCUGAGUUGAUGAGCACAUUCUUGCAGUCUCAUUUCUGCUUAUCAUCGCAUACUCUUGUUGAAUUAUUCUGAACUCACACGCAUUUUGAAAGGCAAGACACAUUGAUUUCCUCAUUAUGUCAGGAAAUGGCGAGUUAAGCAAAUUUCUAAACGCUUUCAAACACCAAGGUCUGUUCAGAAGUGAUAAGACAAGACACUGCGUGGAAGGUGGUGAGUUUUUGUAUAGAAACAGUCCUCAGCGGAAGCAUUUUUGUCCUGGAAAUGUGUCCUCUCUCCAUAACAUAGUAGGAGGGACUGGAUGAGGAGACAAUUUAAGGGCUAAUUUGCUUCUAACAUUUCUUAGCAUUUUCACACUGUGAAAGAUGUGGGGAGAGGGCUUCCUGCUUCAUUGUUUUACAAUUGUUUUCUCCGCACAAUUUUUCUAACCUCCUUAUAAAGAUUACUGCAAUACGAAACAAAUUAGGCCCAUUAACCACAGAUGCAUGAUGACAAAAGCAAAAGUCACAUCAGGAUUUUUAAUCCACUAUUAAAUAUAUAAGGUGCUGAAAAUGUAAAAACUAGUCAUUGCUUAAAACCUGAAGAAUAGGAGAUUGCCAAGGAAGAAAAGAUGAUAGUUUGACUCGAAAGGUUUCCACAGGCCACUGCCAGACAUUAAAUCACACAAGGGCACUUUACCGAACAGGAAUGACAGAAGUUGGUAAGAAAAAAAAUAAGGAGAAUAAUAACAGUAUCUUGGAAAAGUAUAAAUUAAAAGGGCAGCCACCGGCUAUCUGAAAGGUCAGAGGAAUAAAAGAGGGUCUUCUGAGAAUCACUGGUUUCAGAGCGGUAAGUGGAAUUCUCCACAGCACAGGAAGUGGAAGGAUUUUCAUUCACGUUUGAAGGUUCUUUUGACAUUUUCAUUAACUGCAAAAAACACAAAUAACCUAAUCUAUACUGAUUUGAUUAAUAAGUAGGAGAACACAGUACAUUAAAUGUUCAUUUAGAUGUUACAAUUAAGCAGUACACAAAACAUUGAUUUUAUUGCAUCCUGGUGCUUUAAAAAAAAUUCUGUAAGUUUGUAAAUGAGCAGGGACCAUGGUCACUCACUUAUAUUUCUCCUGAGUCAGAAAAUAGUGAAAACACCGAUAAAGGAAGGCAGUGAGUUCCUAAAGAAUUUUACAAGGUUUUAAUUCAAUUUAACUUAAUAACUCUGACUUAAUGAUAGAGUCAAUAUUCUCCUACCUAAAUACAAGAGCUUGGACUCGAUGACUUCACAGUAGUGUUUGUUCUGUUGUUUCAACCUAAGCCUGUGAUACCAGGUCCAGGACCAUCAUUUCGCCCUCUAUUUUCUAAUUAAUGUAGUGCAACAAUCAAGAAGUACAGGAAAGAUAAACAACCUGAGAAAUUCCACUCACUGUCAUUGGUACUGAAAUCCACAUUGCAAGGGUAGAGAGAGAUUUGUGCAAGGUGCAGGGAUGAGUAGCAAUGGCAGCAUUAUACUUGUUUAUGGGAAGGACGGGGGGCAAUGGAAAAGCAAGCCAAUAAAUCUAACAUGUAUUCAAGCAUCUGGCUAAGGACCAGUCCAGGGCAAAAGAAAGAGAGAUGGGCAGAGCACGUGACACUCGCAUAGUCUCUUCACACAUCUUAUCAGAUUGUGACUCAAUUGCUGUAGUAAUCCCUCAUCCACAGUUGACGAAAAAGAUGAACAGAGGGUUAAACGCAUUAACCAAGCUUGCAUAGUCAGUAACCUUACAGCUAAGACUCAAACCCAGGUUUUCUGACUCUGAAUUCAAAAACUCACAGACCAAUGCCAGGGUCAACCAGAUCUACAUGUGAUUUUAAUGGGUUAUUUUUAGGACAUCAUAAGGAAUUCGGUAAGAAAUUUUAUUCUGAGAUUUGGAAAAUCAAGCCCUACCACAGUUUAAACACAAUGGUCACAAUUUAAAUAUAUUUUAAAAUUCAUGUGUUCCAGUUUAGGGCUUUGUUUUCAAUCAUUUUUUCUUAAUUUUUGAUUUAAAACAACCUGUCUAAAGUUAAUGGAACUCCUUAUUCUGUGCCUUAAAUAAGAUGGGAGUUCCCUGAGAAAAGAAAUGGAAGUUCUUAGCCCGGCAGCUCCGUUCAAUACCGUGGAAGUCACGUGGAUUCCAACACCCGCGGUCUUUCCCUUGGCUUUCAGGUGUAUUUCUCCUCUAAGGAUAGAUUAGAACAAAAGUCAUAGGAAAGGAAAUUUAAAUUUUUCUGCAGACUGAGCUAAGCCAAAAAAAUGUGUGACAUGCUCUUGUACAUUUUUCCCUUCUCUAAGGUAACUUGUAAAGGACCCUAUUUUGUCAGAUCACCUAUAUGUAUUUCAACAUUCCGUGAUAUUGCCUUGUCCUUCUUCAUAAGCUUAUAGGAAUCCUUGAAAGUGGAAUGCGUGAUGUCCAUCAGUGACUUCAGGGUUUGUGGAGCAAACGCUAUGGUAGCACCGGGAAGAACAGUGGGUGAGAGGUGACCCCAAAGUUCAGGAAUAUUGCUUCUGACCCCACUUCCUCAGCUAGCACGUCUGGUGUGUCACAGCAGAGUCCAGCAAAGGUAACCAACAACAAAGGGAAAACUAGACACAGUUGCCUGGAAUAAAUACGAAAGGUAAGAACAAACAAAAUCUGUAGCUGCUUGUCUGUUUAACAGUAUAAGCCAAUGAGGGAUCGUAAACUCAGGGAACCACCUCCAGUGUACACACGUUCAGACGCACACAGGCUUACACACACAAACACACAGGCUCAGACACACAUUUGCUCAAACACACACACGCUCAAACACACACACUCAAACACACACAUGCUCAAACACACACAAUAAACACACAGGCUCAGACACACACCUGCACAAACACACACACAAACACACACCUGCUCAAACACACGCACACUCAAACACACAGGCUCAAACACACGCCCAAAUAUACAUACCCACCCAAGCUCAAACACACUCACACACUAAAACACACAGGCUCCCACACACACACACAAACACACAGUAAAAUACACAGGCUCAAACACAAACACUCUCUCACACACACUAAAACACACAGGCUCAAACACACACACACUCUCUCUCAAACGUAUACACCCUCAAACGCACUGGAGCUACGUUAUUUGAGCAAGCAUUUUAGGCCCCAGACCAUGAUUUAAGUAUAAAUUCAGUGCCUUCUUUUCUGCAUUAUGCUCAUUUCAACGUAAUAUAAUCUUUACUUAUUUCAAAUACAAAAAAAAUCACUCUUCUCUAGAACUAAAGGAAACACAAAGUACAAUCGCCCCACUCUUCAUGUAACGCUGUGAAAGAAUCCUGCUCAUCAGAACGAAUUCUAACGGGUCGCUGAAUGUGAAGCUCACGUCACCAACAAAGCGCGGUUUCCUCCCUCGCCAUCCUUCCUCAUGGUCGCGCACCCGGUUCACCUCACCAACAAAGCGCGGUUUCCUCCCUCGCCCUUCUUCCUCGGGAUCGUGCACGCGGUUCACGUCACCAACAAAGCGCGGUUUCCUCCCUCGCCAGACUUCCUCAUGGUCGCGCACCCGUUUCACCUCAACAACAAAGCGCGGUUUCCUCCCUCGCCAUCCUUCCUCGUGGUCGCGCACCCGGUUGGAUUUCACAGUCAUGGAAGUUCUGCUUUAAAAUCCGUUUCUGAAGAAGUGUUAAUGGUAUUGUAUCUCACCAUAUCUUUUUUCUUCUUUAUAUGACACUGGUUUUUAAAUUAUAACUCCUGGUGUAUAAUGAGAUAAAUUCACCAAAGCCUGGUUCGUGCCCCACAAUGCCUUCGUCACUUGGGCAACUGAGCCUUCUGUUAAGCAGGGAGCUCGCAAGCCAGCUCUUUCCGUGUUGCCUGUGUUACGUCCUGAGAAAGGCUUAUAUACGUGUGGUCCUUAAUCAGUGGUGAAGUAAUAAUGAAAAAGAAGUGCCCAUUACGAAGCACCUUCUAUGUGGUAUGACAUAGUAUUUCACCACCCUCAAUUGGCCAAUGUUUCUGAAAAAUAAAAAAUAUUAUAUGUAUUUUACUAAUAAGGAAUCUAAGAAUCUGCGACUAGAAAUCAAGUGUCCUGGUUGGACCCUUUCCACGUUGUGCAAAGGGUUUUGGUGAGGGCUGAAUGCUUCGUGGGCUCUUUCUGCUUAACCAUACCCUAUGUAUUAAAAGAAAAACAGUGGUCUUGCCUCAGAAUGGUAAUUUUCAAAUAUUUUCAGUAAUUGAAACUUUUGCCUUUUAUUAAUGUAAACAGAAUGAAAUUUUUUUAAAUGAGUAUAUAUUUUGGAAAGGAUCCUUACUCAGAGACCCUGCUUCAAUAAUUUUAGAGAAACUUGGGUUUUCAAUGCCAAAAAGAAGAAAAAGAAAGACAAGCUUAAGAAUACUGUCAGACUAAUGCAUUUGCCUGAUGUGUGUGUAUGUAUAAACACGCGCAUAUAUAAUUUGCCUAACUACCAACAAAAUCUUUAGAGGUGAAGAUAGAAUGAUGGGUUUCAAAAUUUCAUGAUACCUAAAAUGCCUUCCUAAUUUUUUGUUUUUUAUUAGUUUUUUUUUCAACUACAAAAGAUCUCAAUCAUGAUAAACUGCUUGCUAGACCUGGUUUUCUGUCGUUGUCACCUAUAAGCAAGACACAUAAAACCCUGUUAAAAAAGCAUUGGAAAACAAAUAUCUAAAUAAACAAUAGGUAAAUGCUAUCUGAAGGUCUGUAUGUCAGUGGUUAUAUGAAGGUGAUUAGAAUCACUUCAUUAAAAUAUUUUUAUACAUUUGGGAAAACAAAUAAAAACCAAAUAUGCCUGGGAAAAUGUUUCUUGAUGCAUGCCGCAAAAUAUUUAUUUGCCCAGAAUAUUUAUAUGGAUGAUCUGAGAAAUAAAUAUG
rnacentral:lncRNA from 1 species